GCCCUGGUGGCGGAAUUGGUAGACGCGCUGGUUUCAGGUAUCAGUCCUCGCAAGGGGGUGGGGGUUCGAGUCCCUUCCUGGGCA
rnacentral:tRNA from 1 species